CACGUACGCCUAGGCCAAGGCAACGCAAUACACUCAUUCGCAGCCAUACACUCAUUCGCAGCCAUCUUGAGAGUUUAGGGCACAGCACACUCCUCAAUAAGUCUACAGUUGUACAUAGUUAUUGUUUCUCUUUUCCUUUUUUUGGAUACUUUUCUCUUUCUUUCUCUUUAUCUGAUUACCAACGUAAAUGAAAUCUCUGGCAGAGACGCACCAAAGGUGCACAGUUUGUGACAGAUGCUUGUACUGAUUUUGUCACCCUGUAUUUUAUACUGUAAAUCAAUAACACUUGUGCGGUAAUGUAUUCACAUCUGUUUGCACUAUUGUAGCCACGCUUGAAUGGCAGAG